UACGCAGGGGGCAAGCGUUGUUCGGAAUUACUGGGCGUAAAGGGCGCGUAGGCGGCCUUCUAAGUCAGACGUGAAAUCCCCCGGCUUAACCUGGGAACUGCGUCUGAUACUGGAUGGCUUGAGUUCGGGAGAGGGAUGCGGAAUUCCAGGUGUAGCGGUGAAAUGCGUAGAUAUCUGGAGGAACACCGGUGGCGAAGGCGGCAUCCUGGACCGACACUGACGCUGAGGAGCGAAAGCCAGGGGAGCAAACGGG
rnacentral:rRNA from 1 species